CAGUAGCCGCGGUAAUACGAAGGGUGCAAGCGUUACUCGGAAUUACUGGGCGUAAAGCGUGCGUAGGUGGUGGUUUAAGUCCGUUGUGAAAGCCCUGGGCUCAACCUGGGAAUUGCAGUGGAUACUGGGUCACUAGAGUGUGGUAGAGGAUAGUGGAAUUUCCGGUGUAGCAGUGUAAUGCGUAGAGAUCGGAAGGAACAUCUGUGGCGAAGGCGACUAUCUGGGCCAACACUGACACUGAGGCACGAAAGCGUGGGGAGCAAACAGGAUUAGAUACCCCAGUAGUCCCUGUCUCUUAUAC
rnacentral:rRNA from 1 species